UCUGGAAACUGUNUGACUUGAGUGCAGAAGGGGAGAGUGGAAUUCCAUGUGUAGCGGUGAAAUGCGUAGAUAUAUGGAGGAACACCAGUGGCGAAAGCGGCUCUCUGGUCUGUCACUGACGCUGAGGCUCGAAAGCGUGGGUAGCGAACAGGAUUAGAUACCCUGGUAGUNCACGCCGUAAACGAUGAGUGCUAGGUGUUAGGCCCUUUCCGGGGCUUAGUGCCGGAGCUAACGCAAUAAGCACUCCGCCUGGGGAGUACGACCGCAAGGUUGAAACUCAAAGGAAUUGACGGGGGCCCGCGCAAGCGGUGGAGCAUGUGGUUUAAUUCGAAGCAACGCGAAGAACCUUACCAGGUCUUGACGUCCCGAUGCUAUUCUUAGAGAUAGGAAGUUACUUCGGUACAUCGGAGACAGGUGGUGCAUGGUUGUCGUCAGCUCGUGUCGUGAGAUGUUGGGUUAAGUCCCGCAACGGGCGCAACCCUUAUUGUUAGUUGCCAUCAUUAUGUUGGGCACUCUAGCGAGACUGCCGGUAAUAAACCGGAGGAAGGUGGGGAUGACGUCAAAUCAUCAUGCCCCUUAUGACCUGGGCUACACACGUGCUACAAUGGUCGGUACAACGAGUUGCGAGCCGGUGACGGCAAGCUAAUCUCUGAAAGCCGAUCUCAGUUCGGAUUGGAGGCUGCAACUCGCCUCCAUGAAGUCGGAAUCGCUAGUAAUCGCGGAUCAGCACGCCGCGGUGAAUACGUUCCCGGGCCUUGUACACACCGCCCGUCACACCACGAGAGUUUGUAACACCCGAAGUCGGUGAGGUAACCUUUUAGGG
rnacentral:rRNA from 1 species